GCAGGCGCGCAAUUACCCAAUCCUGACACAGGGAGGUAGUGACAAAAAAUAACAAUGCCGGGCGUUUUACGUCUGGCAAUUGGAAUGAGUACAAUUUAAAUCCCUUAACAAGUAACAAUUGGAGGGCAAGUCUGGUGCCAGCAGCCGCGGUAAUUCCAGCUCCAAUAGCGUAUAUUAAAGUUGUUGCGGUUAAAAAGCUCGUAGUUGGAUUUCUGGUGUGGUGCGCUCGGCCCGUGCCCGCAAGGGUACGCGUGUUGAUGUGUGCCCAUCAUCCUUGCACGUGCGUCCAGUUGGCGGCCUUCACUGGUUGUCGAUUGGUUUGGUAAAACGUCGUGCAUCAUUUACUUUGAAAAAAUUAGAGUGUUUAAGGCAAGCGAGUGCUGUGAAUACAUUAGCAUGGAAUAAUAAUAUAGGACUUUGUUCCUAUUUUGUUGGUUUCUAGGAAUGAAGUAAUGAUUGAUAGGGACAGUUGGGGGUGCUAGUAUUCAGUGGCCAGAGGUGAAAUUCUUGGAUUCACUGAAGACUAACUUAUGCGAAAGCAUUCACCAAGGAUGUCUUCUUUAAUCAAGAACGAAAGUUGGGGGAUCGAAGACGAUCAGAUACCGUCGUAGUCUCAACCAUAAACAAUACCAACUGCAGAUCAUCCGCC
rnacentral:rRNA from 1 species